rnacentral:rRNA from 1 species
CCUACGGGGGGCAGCAGUAGGGAAUAUUGCUCAAUGGGGGAAACCCUGAAGCAGCAACGCCGCGUGGAGGAUGAAGGUUUUCGGAUUGUAAACUCCUUUUGUUAGAGAAGAACAUGACGGUAUCUAACUAUUAACCUCUGGACAAAGCCGUGCCAGCAGCCGCGGUAUUACGGAGGGGGAACGCUUGCCUCGGAAUCACUGGGCGUAACGAGCGCGUAGGCGGUGUAGCAAGUCAGAUGUGAAAGCCUAUGGCUCAACCGUAGAAGUGCAUUUGAAACUGGAAUUCUGGAGUUCGGAAGAGGAAAGUGGAAUUCUUGGUGUAGCGGUAAAAUGCGUAGAGAUAAAGAGGAACAC